rnacentral:miRNA from 10 species
UCUUACUACCUUGUCCUUCCAG